GUCUAUGGCCAUACCACCCUGAACAGGCCUGAUCUUGGAAGCUAAGCAUGGUCAGGUCUGGUUAGUGCUUGGAUGGGAGAUCUCAAGAUAGGCUAGGAGAGGAGAUAGACC
rnacentral:rRNA from 1 species